rnacentral:tmRNA from 1 species
GGGGUUGUAAUGGUUUCGACAGGGAUGUGGAACAAGGAUAAGCGAGCGGUGGUGGUGAUCCACCUAAAAAGUACCCGUUAAAAAGAAACGCUAAAUCAAACAACAAUUUCGCACUCGCAGCAUAGUUCUGCACCGCGUGUCAGCCCGGGUUUCCCUGUAGGCUCGGAAUCUGGCAUCAUUUAUACAGGACAACCUUGCGCGAGCUCCUGGUAGCGUAAGGGAACAACAGGAUAGCCUGGCGACAGUCUGCUGACGUGACGGUCGCUCAGGCGAAAUUCAAAGCAUCAGCUGCGCUCGGAGAAAGUCCUUCGGAAAUGUUCUUGGACGUGGGUUCGACUCCCACCAUCUCCACCA